rnacentral:rRNA from 1 species
AUGCUUAGGCUUGGAAGAGGACCUUUCUUCCGGUUCUGUCAACUUUUAAGGGACCGCAGGUUGCUUCAAGACACGAUUCAUAUGUCUGUUGAGCAGCAAGUUGGCACGUUCUUGCACACCGUCGGACACAAUGUUAGGGAUGAGCCAGCUGGUGACAAUUUUCGUAUAACCGGUGAAGUUGUUAGUCGUUAUUUCAAAAAAGUCAUCCAUGCCAUUGGAGAGCUACGCCAUGAGCUUAUUAGGGAGCCCUCAUUGGCGACCCCAACCAAAAUAGAAGGGAAUCACCAGUGGGAUCCAUAA